CUUGAAGAAUAUAUAAUAGCUAUUUUUGGCCAGCCAUUAUGUUGCUAUUGCCAAGUCACACAAUUAUCUUGCCAUAUUUUACAUUUCAGCUACAUGAUUUUGAUACGUGCAUUGCAAAAAAUGAAGAAGCUAUUCAAAUUGAUCCUCACUUUGCUGAGUGUUAUGGAAACAUGGCAAAUGCUUGGAAGGAGAAGGGCAACAUUGAUGUUGCAAUCCGCUACUAUUUAAUUGCUAUUGAGGUU